GGGCCCGCACAAGCGGUGGAGCAUGUGGUUUAAUUCGAUGCAACGCGAAGAACCUUACCUACUCUUGACAUCCAGAGAAGCCAGCGGAGACGCAGGUGUGCCUUCGGGAACUCUGAGACAGGUGCUGCAUGGCUGUCGUCAGCUCGUGUUGUGAAAUGUUGGGUUAAGUCCCGCAACGAGCGCAACCCUUAUCCUUGUUUGCCAGCACGUAAUGGUGGGAACUCCAGGGAGACUGCCGGUGAUAAACCGGAGGAAGGUGGGGACGACGUCAAGUCAUCAUGGCCCUUACGAGUAGGGCUACACACGUGCUACAAUGGCGCAUACAGAGGGCAGCAAGCUAGCGAUAGUGAGCGAAUCCCAAAAAGUGCGUCGUAGUCCGGAUUGGAGUCUGCAACUCGACUCCAUGAAGUCGGAAUCGCUAGUAAUCG
rnacentral:rRNA from 1 species